GACGAACCGUGCGAACGUUGUUCGGAAUCACUGGGCUUAAAGGGCGCGUAGGCGGUUGACCAAGUCCGGGGUGAAAUCUUUCGGCUUAACCGGAAAAGUGCCUUGGAUACUGGUCAGCUAGAGGGAUGUAGGGGCAGCUGGAACUUCCAGUGGAGCGGUGAAAUGCGUUGAUAUUGGAAGGAACGCCGGUGGCGAAAGCGAGCUGCUGGACAUCUUCUGACGCUGAGGCGCGAAAGCUAGGGGAGCAAACGGGG
rnacentral:rRNA from 1 species